AUUGAACGCUGGCGGCAGGCUUAACACAUGCAAGUCGAGCGAGCGGCGGACGGGUGAGUAAUGUCUGGGAAACUGCCUGAUGGAGGGGGAUAACUACUGGAAACGGUGGAUAAUACCGCAUACCAUCAGAUGUGCCCAGAUGGGAUUAGCUAGUAGGUGGGGUAAUGGCUCACCUAGUCGACGAUCCCUAGCUGGUCUGAGAGUAGGACCAGCCACACUGGAACUGAGCCACGGUCCAUAUUGCUACGGGAGGCAGCAGUGGGGAAUAUUGCACAAUGGGCGCAAGCCUGAUGCAGCCAUGCCGCGUGUGUGAAGAAGGCCUUCGGGUUGUAAAGCACUUUCAGCGAGGAGGCGUUACUCGCAGAUGAAGCACCGGCUAACUCCGUGCCAGCAGCCGCGGUAAUUC
rnacentral:rRNA from 1 species